UUAUAUAAGCAGUUACAAGGCAAAGUGGUGAAACCUGAAACUGCUGCUGCGCAAGAUACUGAACAUGUUGUUGCCAGGUAACCAAAGAGUGAGUGAGUUAGUUGACGCCACCAAUCUUGCUUAG